UACGGAGGGGGCUAGCGUUGUUCGGAAUUACUGGGCGUAAAGCGCACGUAGGCGGCUUUGUAAGUUAGAGGUGAAAGCCCGGAGCUCAACUCCGGAAUUGCCUUUAAGACUGCAUCGCUUGAAUCAUGGAGAGGUGAGUGGAAUUCCGAGUGUAGAGGUGAAAUUCGUAGAUAUUCGGAAGAAAGCACCAGUGGCGAAGGA
rnacentral:rRNA from 1 species